rnacentral:rRNA from 1 species
CCUACGGGGGGCAGCAGUGAGGAAUAUUGGUCAAUGGACGAGAGUCUGAACCAGCCAAGUAGCGUGAAGGAUGACUGCCCUAUGGGUUGUAAACUUCUUUUAUAUGGGAAUAAAACGUUCCACGUGUGGGAUUUUGUAUGUACCAUAUGAAUAAGGAUCGGCUAACUCCGUGCCAGCAGCCGUGGUAAUACGGAGGAUCCGAGCGUUAUCCGGAUUUAUUGGGUUUAAAGGGAGCGUAGGUGGAUUGUUAAGUCAGUUGUGAAAGUUUGCGGCUCAACCGUAAAAUUGCAGUUGAAACUGGCAGUCUUGAGUACAGUAGAGGUGGGCGGAAGUCGUGGUGUAGCGGUGAAAUGCUUAGAUAUCACGAAGAACUCCGAUUGCGAAGGCAGUUCACUGGACUGCAACUGACACUGAGGCUCGAAAGUGUGGGUAUCAAACAGGAUUAGAUACCCGAGUAGUC